GUGUGAAAACUGAAACGCGGAAACACUGCACCCAGUAUUACUUUUCACUGUCUCAUAAUUACUCAUGCCAUUGAUUCCAUAGAAUAUAAUUUUUUAUUGGAAAACGCGCUUGCAGCAUUGGGUGUUUUAACGGAGAAUGCUUGGCAUCAUUAUCCCAUCUCUGAUUGUGAAAUUAAUCAUUAUUCCCAUUUCGCCAUGACAAUGAUCACACUCAGGGGUGGAAGGUCCUUCAAACUUCUUAUUCUUCUUCAUGCAUUUUUACUUAUAAUGCUUUCAGCGCACUUGAGUCCAGCCCUUGGAUUCAUUUCAGGGGUUGGAGUCGGAGAUGCUAACAACAUCAGGUGUAUAGAGGGAGAGAGACAAGCACUCCUUCAGUUCAAAAAAGGCCUCGUUGAUGACUAUGGCAGACUCUCUUCGUGGCAGAGCGGCGACGAAAAUAAGAAUUGCUGCAAUUGGGAAGGAGUUCGCUGCAGCAACCUAACCGGCCAUGUACUUGAGCUUCAUCUUAGUGCUAUUCAAAAUGAACGUUUUGGAGGUAUGAUUAGUUCUUCACUACUUGAGUUGCCUUAUUUGACAUAUUUGGAUCUUAGUUUCAAUGAUUUUAAUCAGAGCUAUCUUCCAAAGUUCAUCGGUUCUCUCAGUAACUUGAAACACCUCGAUCUUACUGGUGCCAAUCUCAGUGGGCCAAUUCCACAUCAUCUUCAGAACCUUUCGCACUUGCAAAUACUCUAUCUCGGUGGGAAUUAUUGGAAAAAUAUUGAAAAUUUGGAAUGGCUUUCUCAUCUGUCUUCAAUAGAAGACCUUGACCUAAGUUACACAAAUCUCAGUGUAGCCAAUGAUUGGUUUGAAGUUGUGAGUAGUCUCCCUAAUUUAAAAACCUUGAGAAUGUAUUCGUGUGAUUUACCUCCAAUGAGUCUUUCAUCUUUUCCCCGUUUCAAUGAUUCGAAAUCUUUUGCUUCUCUUAAAAGCCUACAUCUCAGUGAAAACCAACUUGUCCACCUUCCAAAAUCCCUAGGGAAUAUAUGUACUUUACGUGAAUUGUACUUGUGGUCAAACCAUCUCAAUGGACAAUUAGUUGAGCUUAUCACUAACUUGUCUGGAUGUGCAAAAGACUCAUUAGAAAUUUUGGAAUUAUCAGAUAAUCAAAUUACGGGAUCGUUGCCUAAUUUUGCAAUAUUUCCGUCCUUAAAAUAUAUAUAUCUUUCAAUGAACAAAUUAAAUGGGACUUUGCCCAAAAGCAUUGGGAACCUAUAUAAGCUCGAGGUUUUGAGUGUUGAUUCGAAUCUUUUGCAAGGUGUGAUCUCUGAAUCUCUCUUCUCCAAUCUCUCCAAAUUACAAAGUUUAGACUUGUCCAAUAAUUCUCUUUCUUUGGAAUUCAGCUUUGAUUGGGUUCCCCCUUUCCAACUGAGUUAUGUAUAUUUGACAUCUUGUAAUUUAGGACCUAGAUUUCCAAAUUGGAUUCGAACUCAAAGGAAUGUUUCUAUCCUUCAGAUCUCUGAUACUAAAAUUUCAGAUACCAUCCCAGUAGAGUGGUUAGCAGACCUGCCUCCUACAUUAAAACUUUUAAAUCUUUCUAACAACCAUAUAUAUGGGCGGUUACCAAAUGUGUCAACAAAAAGAUUGAAUGGACUUGCAAUUGAUUUGAGUGUUAACAGUUUAGAGGGUCCACUACCACAUUUUCCAACAAAUCUCACAAUCUUGAAUCUCUCUAAAAAUCAAUUUUCAGGGUCUAUCUCUUCUCUUUGUGAAAUCAAUGGUCAAUUGUUGGCUUACCUUGACCUAUCCAAUAAUAGAUUAUCUGGAAGACUUCCUAAUUGUUUUAUGCAAUGGCCAAAGCUAGUCAUUUUGAAUUUAGCUAGCAACCACUUCUUUGGGGAAGUUCCAAGCUCUUUGGGCUCGCUGUCUGUGCUCAACACGUUGAGUCUAAAUAAUAAUAAUUUCUCUGGAAACUUACCUUCGUCCCUGAGAAAUUGCACUUUCUUGAUAGUUAUGGACAUGAGAAAUAAUAGAUUUUCUGGGAACGUACCAGCAUGGAUUGGGGAACGCCUACCAAGCUUGAUUUUUCUAUCUUUACGUUCCAAUAUGUUCAAUGGAUGCAUACCAUUGCAUUUGUGUUGGUUAAAAGAUUUACAAAUCUUGGACCUCUCUAUAAAUGACAUAUCCGGAACUAUACCAAAAUGUCUCAAUAAUUUCACAGCCAUGGCUCAGAAAGGAAACUCUUUGUUUGAAAGUACGAUUUCUUAUUCAUAUGAUAAUCAUGUCACCUAUACACAAGAAUAUUUUGAUAGUGUAAUGGUUGAGUUGAAAAGAAAUGAGUAUGAGUACCAUGGUACAAAUCUUGGACUGCUGAAGAUCAUUAACCUUUCAAGUAACAAAUUGAUCGGUAAACUUCCAAGUGGAAUCUUCAGCCUUUUGGAUUUGAUUUCACUCAACGUUUCAAGAAACAACUUGAUUGGAGAAAUUCCUCAAAUGAUUGGUCAGUUGAAGCAGCUAGAAUCACUUGAUUUGUCAAGAAAUCAGUUUUCAGGCAAAAUCCCAUCUAGCAUAUCUGAGAUAAGCUUUUUGGGAUUCCUGAACUUAUCCUAUAACAAUUUGUCUGGGAAAAUUCCUUCGGGCACUCAACUCCAAGGCUUCGAUGCAUCUUAUUUUAUUGGAAAUAGGGCACUUUGUGGACCCCCACUCACACAAAAGUGUCCAGGUGAAGAAACACCAAGCCGAAGUGAAGCGACUACCAAAGAUAAUGAAGAUGAAUUGGGAAAAUGGUUUUUUGUGGGAACAGGAUGUGGAUUUGCUAUAGGGUUUUGGGGAGUUUGCAGUUCUUUGUUGUUGAAGCGUUCUUGGAGACAUGCCUAUUUCCUGUUAUUGGACAACAUGAAGGAUUGGAUCUAUGUAACAAUAACCGUGAACAUUGCAAGAUUGCAAAGGAAGAUUCAGAGGCAGGGAUGACCACUUUGUCUGUAGAGAUUAGCAAGGUAAUGUAAUACGUAUAGACAGCAAUUAAUUUAUUCUUGUCAUAUUCAUAUCUUUGUUUUUUAGCCUAGAGCAAACGUAACUGCAAACAUGGUAGUUCUAUAUUUUUCAUUGAUACGAGCUUUGCCCUUUUCUUUUUCUUUUAAAAAAAAAAAAUCAUUAAUCUGUUUCAAUUUUAGUGUUUUGUUUCCACCUUAUCUCACAAUUUCUUGAUUUUGCCUCACAUGCCAAGAAGUAUAUUUUCAUAUUUCAAAUUGCAUAUCAGGUAAGGUCGCAUAGUGGUACUUAAGACGAUAUGCUUUAUCCGCGUGGAGUUGCUGUUGCUGGUGCUCACGUCAAAAUAAGUGUCAGAAACCACCGUUUGUAACAUUUGUGUGGGUGUGGAUCUAUAUUAUGCUUUGUUUCAUUGCCUUUCUCAAUUAAGCAAGUUAAUUUACAAAGAGAAAUUGUGUAAUUUGGAUCUAGUUUAAUGUUUGAGUGUUACCAUCCUGGACUAUUUGCACUGUUA